AUUAGUGUGCCGUGUAAUUUGCUGGGCUGUAAUUAAGGCAGAGCCCACCUCGGGGAGGGGUCAGAGCCGGGUUUAACGCUCGGCUAAAGCCGGGGCUAAGCUGAGCCUGACACGGUCCCUCCGUGCCCAGGCGGAGCAUCCCUGUCCCCGCACGGAGCCCCCUCGGGAUGGGGUCACAGCGCAAAUCCCCUCAGCUCCGGGCGGGCACUGCCCGCUGAAUUCCUUCCUCCCGUUCCCAUUUUCCCGGGAAGCAAUCCCGGGAUUGCAGAGCGAUCUUUUCCUGUCCCUGCCGUUCACUAGGUGGAGAUCUUUAGUUGUCCACCGGCGCCGGGCUCUGGAUUUUCAUUCUGUGCAAGCGGGAGCUGCUGCAAAAACUCGGCUGAUGAAUUUUCAGAUGCUCUUCCAGAUCUUUAACUCUCCUCUGGGACACACGCAGAGCUCCUUUUGCCAGGAACACUCGGGCUGACAGGAACCAGGGCGUUCUGUGGCUCUGUUUUCAGAACCUCCCGGGUUUGAUUUAUUUAGUGGCUGAUGAGAAUGAGAACACUUGAAAGGAGAUUCGUCUAACAAACUGAUGAAAAGUAAACGAGACCAUCAACAACGAGUGUGAGCAGCUCUCUACAACCAAAACCUUGUGCUGGAGAGACCCCGAUUUCAGCAGCUCUGCCCCAGCAUCUCCCACAGGGAUCCUCUGGCACACCCUGACCUCAGGAGGGCUAAAACCCUUUCAAAUUGAGCUGUUCCAGAGUUUUACCACGUCAUCUUCAGCAGAAAUGCUGUUGCUAAAGAUAAAAUAACUCUCUCUGAGCAGCCUCGGCAAGCAAAGCAGCACCAGCCCUCCUGUUUUCUUUGCAGGGGGAUGGCAGCUGGGGUUGGCAGGGACAGCAGGAUUAAGCAUCCCUCUGUUGCAAAUUUCCUGCCAGCGAGAGCAAAGAAAAAUGAGAUCCCAAGGGUGGAAGGGCAGUGUUCCUGCACAAGAAUUCUCCCCACUGCAGCCAGGCACUAAUUAGGAGAGCAGCUGAACCCUGAGUGCUGUCAGAAGAUGAAUAUUAAAGUGGCCAAACUCACGUGCAUGCAAUGAGGUGCCUUAAGACCGACAGUCCACAUUGCUGAUCAAACAAAACAGGGAGGCAUGAAAAGGCCAAAAGGAGGGGCAGCAACACAGGCAAGUCUCUGGCCUUCUGUUGAGGUGUUCACGUGGAAAUUUGAAUAAGAAUGAAGAUUCAGUUAAGGAAUGCUUUAAUUUUUUUAUCAUGAGGGAGCAUCUUGCUGUUCACUUGGAAGCAGAUGUUCAGAUGGAAAGGAGCAUUUUGUCAAAAAUGGUUUAGAACAAUGUGGAUUCAGGGGCAAAUCUGUUCAACUCUUCUGAAACAUCUUCAAGGCCUUCUCUCAAAGGCUGAAAAUGCCUUGUAGAGGGAUCUUUUCCAGGUCCGUGUGCCAUCCCAGUGCAUCCCAAUCGAUGAGAACCUGGACUAAAGCUCCAAGAAGCAGCAAGCCCAGCUUGUGUUUAAGAUCCCAGCUGGUUUCCAUCAGCAGAGUUUAUUCAUCUUGGGCUGAGCAGAGAGAUGCAGAAAAAGCAAGUGAAGCUGCAGAAAUCAGUUUGGUUCCUGAAUGAAGCUGUAUUUUAAUGAAGAAACAAAUCUAAUGCUGAAAAACACCAAGUGAGAAGUGUUUCUGUCACAAACUUUCAUGCUGAGAAGCUUCUGUUUCCUUCAGACCACUUCUUUCUUGAGAAAAACAAGACUUCUGAAAAUAAGCACCAGCUUUGGAGGGCUUUUCCAUACUGGAUCAGCUCCCCUGUGGAAGCUGUGCCUUCCUCAAACGCUUCCUGAGUACUCCUUUGGGAAGGACAAGGUAAAGGUGGUGAACUCAGUCCUAAAAAUUUCCUGCUGGCUUUAAAACCCUGCCUGACUUCUGCAGCAGUCAGGAUAUAAACACUUCCCUGGAGAAAUGCGUCUCAUGUGAUCCUGAGGCUCAGAACAGCUCCAGAGCCAGGAAACAGCUGAGAAGUGACUCUGGAUCCAUCCAGAAUGGAACUUCCCAGAUCAAACCAUCACAGGAGAAACAUCAGCCUUUGAGAACAGAAGUCUGAGAUUUUUUCCUUCCUUCUCUGCAGCAACAAAAUCUCAAAGGUCACCUUGCAGCAAACUGGUUUUGAUGAUUCUCAUCCUGCAAGCAUCCAGCAGAGUGCAAACAUCUAGAGGAACAGAAGGGGUUUCUGUCUGGCUGCAUGAACUGUUUAUCAGUCAGGUGGGUACCCUGUCCUUCACAGAGAUGAUAUUCAGAGCAGAUAUCUUGAGGGAACCUUGCAGAGAAGAAGAUGCACCUGACACACCAAGGUGAGGCUUUGGAUGACUUAUUGUCAUAGCCUGGCAGAUGCAAAACAGCUUCUUCAAGGCAAUAGAUUUGAAUUGAAAAUAUUUUUGGAUGAGAAAGAGCUGUUACUCCUAUGGAGGAGUUGGACUAAGUAAAACAAAUGUACUUUUCUGGAAAGAAAACACCUUCAGAAUCACCAUUGAAAACUCUCAGUGCUCUCUGAAUCUCAUCCCCUGGAGAUGAAAUAAAUCCCAGGGUCCAACAAAUGGCACUUUUCCCCUUGUUCUCAGCUGGCCUCAGGAUGGGCUGCAGGGGGCUGGGUGAGGUUUUUGUGCUGCUCCCCCCAGCAGGGCAGGACGGCUGCUGGAAGGAUGCAAAGCCCCCAUCCUGCUGCCCAGUGUCCCACAGGGAUGCUGCUAAAGGAGCUGAACUAAAUGUUAAUCUGUGUCUCACCCAGGCCUGGCCUUUCUUUGAUCCUCACACCCAGCAGGGCUGCGUCCCUGCAGUGGGCCAGGCCCUGCUGUCCUACUUCAGCAGCUCUGGAAAAGGUCUGCAGGAAUUCCUGGUGUUCUGCCCUUCACCCCUAAAUCCCUCUCUCCUCUCCUGCUGUGCUCCAUCCCCUGGGGACAGGGAUUUGUCCCUGUGCUCUGUGCAGACAGCUCUGUCUGCACACAGGGCCGUUGUUAUAAAUACAUAUUAUAAAGUUGGCUUUUUGUAAAUAUUAAGAUGAAUUAAAAAUUAAGAUGAACAUAAAUAAUGUUAAAAUAAUUUUGCUGUAAGGAUAUAAUUUUUAGGGUUUUUUUUUUUUUGCUUAAACACAGUAGUGGGAUAGUUAAUAUAUACUUAUGCUUGUAAUUGAAUUGUCUGUUUAGUUAGAAUAACAUUUAGUGAACAUAUAAUAAGGACCUUGCUGCUAAUAAUGCUAAUCAUUAGCAUUUGCCAUCUGAAGAAAGUACAGACUAAGGCCUAAACUAAAAGUGAUAAAGAGAAUGGACUGAAACCACAGCCAAGAAACACACAUGCUUUAAAAAGGCAGACCCAAGGAGGGGCCAUGUUAAACAGUUCCUGGAAUAUAGAAAUUAGUUUGUGGAAAAGUAUGAAUAUGCAUAAUGUUUACGAAUAUGCAACAGGUUGAUGUAAUAGAAAAGGUAUUAAAGAAUGUGUCCAAAGAUAGUAGGUGUGUUCUUGGCUGAAUGCCAAGCACAGUCUGUUUAACCCUUUGCUGUCUGCCUGAAAAAGGGAAUUUUCUCAUCUGGGAGGCAGCUUCAGGCUCUGAAGCACAAGGUGUAAAUUCAGUCCUGGGGGGCCUAAAAGCACCCACAUAAUCUGCCUUGGCUGGAAUUGGCUCUUGAGUCAGAGAGGGGCAGAGCCCAGCAAGCUGGGACAUGGAAUGCUGGGCAAGGAGGGGCCAGAGCUGGGUCCACUUCCCUGAUUUGUCCCUCCCUACCAAAACUCCCUGUCACUGAGGAAGAACCUGAUGUCUUCAGAUGCUGGCAUUCCUGCCAGCAUUAAUUUUCUAGCUGGCAGAGGCACCCAAUGACAGAAGCUUUUGCCAGGAGCAGUGGAGAGCAAUUUCUGGGGUGGUUGAUCUCCUAUUGCAGGCAGCACCACGGUCACAGGUGGUGGAAAAAGCAAUUACACUGCAAACCUCACAGCAAACCCCACAGCUGGGGUGGAGUCCGAGCCCCUGGCACUGCCCAGGCAGGCACAGAGCUGCUUUGGUGGCCGUGGUGACAAGAUACUGCUCCCAGCCCUGCAGCACAGUCAAUCACCCCAGCCUGGGGCAGGCUCCUUCGGAAGGAUCCAGCUGCUCCCAUGGCCUGUAGGAGUCUGGAAUUCUGCACUGGGCUGGAUCUAGGAAGACUUUUCCCUGUGCACAACCCCUCUCUCUGCUUCCUGGUGCCUUUAUGGCGAGGCUGCUGCUGCUGUCAAGUGACAGAGCCGGGGGAUUUGCCUGGGGAUGCUCCUCUGGGGCUGGAAAGGGCAGGGGAGGGCAGGAGGUGGGGCAGGAGAGCGGCGAUCAGAGCCCAGCCUGCAGCCCUGGGCUGUGAUCUGUGCUGUCACAAACCCCGGGUGCUUCUGAUGCCUUGGGAAGGCUGAGCUGGAACAGAGACUGGACAGAGCUGUAAAAUAGAGAUUUAUUGAAAGGUCUCCAGGAUCCACCGUGGGUAGGACAGGGCCUGGCCAGGGUUACACCCAAGGUAGACCCAAAAUGGUCACAAAAUGCACAGCCGGUCAUGAGGUCUCACACUUUGAUAAGUUUUGGUCCAUUUGCAUAUUGGUUUGAUUGUCCAACUACAGCUCCAGGUGAUGCAGUCCCAUCCUUCUUGUUCCUCCCUCCAGCCACCCUUGUUUGUGCUUUUGGGCUGAACACUUGUCCCAGCUGUCCUUGGUGUGCAGCAGGAAAAGGAUUUGUUUUGUGUCCCUGCUGUGUGCAGAGCUGAGUGACCCUGAGUGUGAGCUCAGAGCUGCACCCCUGGGCAGCACAGAGUCUGAAAAGCAUGAAUGCUAAAGUUUAAGGCAUCACUUCUGGCUGCCCAUUUUAUGCACGAGCAUCUCAACUCUGUGCCAUGGUGAGGGCUGGUGACAGCUUUGUUCCCAACAACAGCCCUGGAGGGAUGGGUUCAGCUCUCAAGUGUUAUAAAUACAGAUUAUAUUGUUUGCUUUCUGCAAAUAUUAAGAUGAAUGCUAUAUGUAUAAUGUUAAAAUAACUUUGCUUUUAUUUCUGCUAUUAACCAAAACUUAGCCAUAGUAGUAGUAGUAGCUAAUAUAAUUAUGAGUGAACUGUUUGGUCGAGAUAACCUCCAGUGAACAUGUGAUGAAGACCCUGUUAUUGAUAUGCCAACUUUUAGCAUCUGCCAUCUGAAGAAAAUAUAGAACAAAACCCAAACUCAAGGUAAUAAUAAAACCACAGCCAAGAAACAUACAUACUCUGAAAACACGGACCCAAGGAGGGGCCAUACUAAACAGUUCUUUAAAAGAUAGAAAUAUGCAUAAUAGUCUAUGUAUAUGCAACAGGCUGAUGUAAUAGAAAAAGUAUUUAAGGAAUUUCUCCAAAAUAGUUGUGUGCUCCUGGCUGAAUGCCAAGGACCCGGCUGUUUUAACCCUGUGCUUUAUUUCUGUCUCCUAUUGUCUUGUUAUUAAAGUUUUAAAUGUUACCAAAAAAAUAAACCUCA